CUAUCAGACAGCACAAACACACAAAGCCAUAACAAUCUUCAAAGCAACGACGCUCAAAAAUGGUAAAAAUGCUGAUUCUUAUUAUCCUGCCUGGAGUCAUCUCACGUUCACUUUCUCCAGCAAAAAAUUAUAAAAAAGCUGUGUCCAGCAGUCCAUUAUUGACGUUUCAAGCUUUUUAAGUGUGAAAGGUGCAGGCUGCAGUCUUCCCCUGAAUCAACCCGUGCCAAACUGCAGGGAGCUAUCGAGAAGUGAGACAACCCAGCACACAACAUCGUAAAUCAGAUCUAUUCUACGCUCACGUUCUUUACGCUGCAACAUAUGGAGGCACCUUUCCUGGGUGAUAUUAAAAACAUCAUUGCCAGCAGG